AUUGAACGCUGGCGGCAAGCCUAACACAUGCAAGUCGAACGAGUGGCGGACGUGUGUGAAGUGUCUGGGACCCUGCCCGAAGGAGGGGGAUAACUUUUGAAAACGGUAGCUAAUACCGCAUACCAUCAGAUGUGCCCAGACGGGCUUAGCUUGUAGGUGGGGUAAAGGCUCACAUAGGCCACGACCACUAGCUGGUUUCAGAGGUUGACCAGCCACACUGGAACUGAGACACGGUCAAGACUCCUACGGGAGGCAGCAGUGGGGAAUAUUGCACAAUGGGGGCAAGCCUGAUGCAGCCAGGCCGCGGGGAUGAAGAAGGCCUUCGGGUUGUAAAGUACUUUCAGCGGGGAGGCGUUACCCGAAGAAGAAGCACCGGCUAACUCCGUGCCAGCAGCCGCGGUAAUUC
rnacentral:rRNA from 1 species